ACCAAAUUGGAUGUUAGGCCGUAAUAAUUGAACGAUAUCGCACAAACACAAACGUAUCACUAUCUCAGUCAGAGUAUCAAUCAACCACUACCCUACUCGUUCGUUUGUUCGUUCACUUGUUUUCUUUCUUACCGCGUCUGUAAGAGUAAGCAAUCAUCAUAUUCUUUCACAGAUGAAACUCGUCGGUGGGAGGUGAAUGGGAAGAUUAUAUAUAUAUAUAUAUAUAUAUAUCAUCAUUAAUUUGACCCCUCUUGCUACUUAAUUGCUUAAGCGUACCUACAAUAUUGCAAUUGGCCUGAGAAGCACGGCAAGAGUGGAACUUAUUGUCUUCAGUCAAGAAACUCUCCACUCAGACAAGAGAAAUGUGAACCAGACAACUUUCUUUGUGGUGUUUAGAAGCUUUUUUGUGAGCCUUUGGGGCUAUUUGAAAUUGCGACAAUCAUGCAAAUGCUGUUGGAAAUAAACACAAAUUAUG